UACAUAGGUGGCGAGCGUUGUCCGGAAUUACUGGGUGUAAAGGGCGUGUAGGCGGGGAUAUAAAUCAGAUGUGAAACUCCGAAGCUUAACUUCGGAACUGCAUCUGAAACUGUGUCUCUUGAGUGCUGAAGAGGAAAGCGGAAUUCCUAGUGUAGCGGUGAAAUGCGUAGAUAUUAGAAGGAACACCAGUGGCGAAGGCGGCUUUCUGAACAGUAACUGACGCUGAGGCACGAAAGCAUGGGAAGCAAACAGGAUUAGAAACCCUGGUAGU
rnacentral:rRNA from 1 species